UACAGAGGGUGCGAGCGUUAAUCGGAAUUACUGGGCGUAAAGGGCGCGUAGGCGGUUCAAUGAGUGUGAUGUGAAAGCCCUGGGCUUAACCUAGGAAGUGCAUCGCAAACGAUUAAACUGGAGUAUAAGAGAGGGUGGCGGAAUUUCCGGUGUAGCGGUGAAAUGCGUAGAGAUCGGAAGGAACGUCAAUGGCGAAGGCAGCCACCUGGCUUAAUACUGACGCUGAGGCGCGAAAGCGUGGGGAGCGAACAGG
rnacentral:rRNA from 1 species